rnacentral:rRNA from 1 species
UACGUAGGGGGCAAGCGUUGUCCGGAAUCAUUGGGCGUAAAGAGCGCGUAGGCGGCCCGAUAAGUCCGCUGUGAAAGUCAAGGGCUCAACCCUUGAAUGCCGGUGGAUACUGUCGGGCUAGAGUCCGGAAGAGGAGAAUGGAAUUCCUGGUGUAGCGGUGAAAUGCGCAGAUAUCAGGAAGAACACCCGUGGCGAAGGCGGUUCUCUGGGACGGUACUGACGCUGAGACGCGAAAGCGUGGGGAGCGAACAGG